rnacentral:ncRNA from 1 species
AAGGUAGAGGACGCGACGAUUAUCAGUAGCAUUUCUGAUGGGGCUGGCCCAAUAGACGAUCUGUGAAAGGAUGAGUCGCCGAAGCGAUGAAAUUCCACGCGGUUUCAUGGGCUGGGACUUGGAUGAAUAAUUCAAGGACUGUCAUCCGGAUAACAGGAUGGAGUGCUACGGUA